UACGUAUGGAGCAAGCGUUAUCCGGAUUUACUGGGUGUAAAGGGAGCGUAGGCGGUGCUAUAAGUCUGAUGUGAAAGCCCGGGGCUCAACCGCGGGACUGCAUUGGAAACUGUAGGACUGGAGUGUCGGAGGGGUAAGUGGAAUUCCUAGUGUAGCAGUGAAAUGCGUAGAUAUUAGGAGGAACACCGGUGGCGAAGGCGGCUUACUGGACGACAACUGACGCUGAGGCUCGAAAGCGUGGGGAGCAAACAGG
rnacentral:rRNA from 1 species